ensembl:misc_RNA Metazoa_SRP Metazoan signal recognition particle RNA
GCCGGGCGUGGUGGUAGGCGCCUGUAAUCCCAGCUACUCGGGAGGCUGAGGCAGGAGAAUCGCUUGAACCCGGGAGGCGGAGGUUGCAGUGAGCCGAGAUCGUGCCAUUGCACUACAAUCUGGGAGAAAAGAGUGAAACUCCAUCGCAAAAGAAGAGAGAAAUGUUUUUGUGUUUGUUUUGAGACAAAGUUUUGCUCUGUUGCCCAGGCUGGAGUGCAGUGGCACGAUCUCGGCUCACUGCAACCUCUGCCUCCCGGGUUCAAGCAAUUCUCCUGCCUCAG